rnacentral:rRNA from 1 species
UAGAGUUUGAUCCUGGCUCAGAUUGAACGCUGGCGGCAUGCCUUACACAUGCAAGUCGAACGGCAGCACGGGAGCAAUCCUGGUGGCGAGUGGCGAACGGGUGAGUAAUAUAUCGGAACGUGCCCAGUCGUGGGGGAUAACGCAGCGAAAGCUGUGCUAAUACCGCAUACGAUCUCUGGAUGAAAGCGGGGGACUCGCAAGAGCCUCGCGCGAUUGGAGCGGCCGAUAUCAGAUUAGCUAGUUGGCGGGGUAAAAGCCCACCAAGGCGACGAUCUGUAGCUGGUCUGAGAGGACGACCAGCCACACUGGAACUGAGACACGGUCCAGACUCCUACGGGAGGCAGCAGUGGGGAAUUUUGGACAAUGGGCGAAAGCCUGAUCCAGCAAUGCCGCGUGCAGGAUGAAGGCCUUCGGGUUGUAAACUGCUUUUGUACGGAACGAAACGGUCUGCCCUAAUACGGUGGGCUAAUGACGGUACCGUAAGAAUAAGCACCGGCUAACUACGUGCCAGCAGCCGCGGUAAUACGUAGGGUGCGAGCGUUAAUCGGAAUUACUGGGCGUAAAGCGUGCGCAGGCGGUUAUAUAAGACAGAUGUGAAAUCCCCGGGCUCAACCUGGGACCUGCAUUUGUGACUGUAUAGCUAGAGUACGGUAGAGGGGGGAUGGAAUUCCGCGUGUAGCAGUGAAAUGCGUAGAUAUGCGGAGGAACACCGAUGGCGAAAGCAAUCCCCUGGACCUGUACUGACGCUCAUGCACGAAAGCGUGGGGAGCAAACAGGAUUAGAUACCCUGGUAGUCCACGCCCUAAACGAUGUCAACUGGCUGUUGGGUCUUCACUGACUCAGUAACGAAGCUAACGCGUGAAGUUGACC